AUGGCUUCGAUUUUAGCGUAACGUUUUGUUUUUCCGCCUUUUACUGAAAAACACCGCGCUAUCUUCGAACUUCAGCCACAUUACCAAUUUUUCUGGGACGCUUUGCGUCU
rnacentral:snRNA from 1 species